rnacentral:rRNA from 1 species
CCUACGGGAGGCUGCAGUGGGGAAUAUUGCACAAUGGGGGAAACUCUGACGCAGCGACGCCGCGUGAGUGAUGAAGUAAUUCGUUAUGUAAAGCUCUAUCAGCAGGGAAGAAAAUGACGGUACCUGAGUAAUAAGCCCCCGCUAACUACGUGCCAGCAGCCGCGGUAAUACGUAGGGGGCAAGCGUUAUCCGGCUUUACUGGGUGUAAAGGGAGCGUAGGCGGCAGUUCAAGUAUGGAGUGGAAGGCGGGGGCUCAACCCCCGGACGGCUCUGGAAACUGUACGGCUGGAGUGCAGGAGAGGUAAGUGGAAUUCCUAGUGUAGCGGUGGAAUGCGUAGAUAUUAGGAGGAACACCAGUGGCGAAGGCGGCUUACUGGACUGUAACUGACGUUGAGGCUCGAAAGCGUGGGGAGCAAACAGGAUUAGAUACCCCUGUAGUC